UGCGCGGCUUGCUCCAGCAAGGUAAAAUUUCCCACUGCGAGGCAGGCAGUGAUGCUGCGGCCGCUUCGCACUGUGGCUCCUGCCGACCGCCAGGCGCUGUUACAGUGGAUGCGAACUAACCGUAAGUCAUUAUAUCGUACUGCAGAAACCAGCUCAACUAUGCAAAACUACCACCAGGACUGGCCGACACCAGGAGGGAUUCCAGAGACCACACUGCAGGGAGCAUACAGAAAGAAAAUUAAGAGAUCAGAUGCAGCAGCAGCCGGAACCCACAGUUCACCUUGGUGCAUUCCUUUAUGAUGAAGACUUAUUGAUUCAUUAUAUGAGAAAGGAAAAAUGAGCAGAAACUACUGUAUGAUGUGCAGCUCACACCAGACAGCAACUUUAGGGUUAUCUUUCCAGUUCAGCAGUGCAACUCUAUGGAGUAGAAUUGAAAGGAGACUUUUCGCCAAUUGCAGGAAAUGGUCAUAAAAAAAUACCUGCUCACUGACAGAAUAAAGAUGGAGUGUCACUCUGUCACCCUGACUAGAGUGCAGU
rnacentral:lncRNA from 1 species